GAUCGGCCCGCGUCUGAUUAGCUAGGUGGUGGGGUAAUGGCCUACCAAGGCAACGAUCCGUAGCUGGUCUGAGAGGAUGAUCAGCCACACUGGGACUGAGACACGGCCCAGACUCCUACGGGAGGCAGCAGUGGGGAGUAUUGGACAAUGGGGGCAACCCUGAUCCAGCAAUGCCGCGUGAGUGAUGAAGGCCUUAGGGUUGUAAAGCUCUUUCGGCGGGGACGAUGAUGACGGUACCCGCAGAAGAAGCCCCGGCUAACUUCGUGCCAGCAGCCGCGGUAAUACGAAGGGGGCGAGCGUUGUUCGGAAUUACUGGGCGUAAAGGGCGCGCAGGCGGCUCUGAAAGUCAGAUGUGAAAGCCCCGGGCUUAACCUGGGAACUGCAUUUGAUACUCUGGAGCUUGAGUGUGGGAGAGGAGAGUGCAAUUCCCAGUGUAAAGGUGAAAUUCGUAGAUAUUGGGAAGAACACCGGUGGCGAAGGCGGCUCUCUGGACCACAACUGAAGCUGAAGCGCGUGAGCGUGGGGAGCAAACAGGAAUAGAUACCCUGGUAGUCCACGCCGUAAACGAUGUGCGCCUGACGUUUGGAAGCUUUAUCCUUUCCGGGGCCCAACUAAAGCGAUAAACGCACCGCCUGGGGGA
rnacentral:rRNA from 1 species